AGUGAACGCUGGCGGUAGGCCUAACACAUGCAAGUCGAACGGCAGCACAGUAAGAGCUUGCUCUUACGGGUGGCGAGUGGCGGACGGGUGAGGAAUACAUCGGAAUCUACUUUUUCGUGGGGGCUAACGUAGGGAAACUUACGCUAAUACCGCAUACGACCUACGGGUGAAAGCAGGGGAUCUUCGGACCUUGCGCGAUUGAAUGAGCCGAUGUCGGAUUAGCUAGUUGGCGGGGUAAAGGCCCACCAAGGCGAUGAUCCGUAGCUGGUCUGAGAGGAUGAUCAGCGACACUGGAGCUGGGACACGGUCCAGACUCCGACGGGAGGCAGCAGUGGGGAAUAGUGGACAGUGGGCGGAAGCCUGCUCCAGCGAUACCGCGUGGGUGAAGAAGGCCUGCGUGUUGGAAAGACCUUUUGUGGGUAAAGAAAAGUAGCAGGUUAAUACCCCGCUGUUCUGACGGUACCCAAAGAAUAAGCACCGGCUAACUUCGUG
rnacentral:rRNA from 1 species